rnacentral:rRNA from 1 species
UGGGGAAUAUUGCACAAUGGGCGCAAGCCUGAUGCAGCCAUGCCGCGUGUGUGAAGAAGGCCUUCGGGUUGUAAAGCACUUUCAGCGAGGAGGAAGGGUAGUGUGUUAAUAGCACAUUGCAUUGACGUUACUCGCAGAAGAAGCACCGGCUAACUCCGUGCCAGCAGCCGCGGUAAUACGGAGGGUGCAAGCGUUAAUCGGAAUUACUGGGCGUAAAGCGCACGCAGGCGGUUUGUUAAGUCAGAUGUGAAAUCCCGCGCUUAACGUGGGAACUGCAUUUGAAACUGG